GUGUCCGUAGCUCAACGGCAGAGCGCCGGAUUGUGGAUCCGGCGAUGGCGGUUCGAUUCCGCUCGGUCACC
rnacentral:tRNA from 1 species